rnacentral:rRNA from 1 species
CCUACGGGAGGCUGCAGUGGGGAAUAUUGCGCAAUGGGCGAAAGCCUGACGCAGCGACGCCGCGUGAGGGAUGAAGGUCUUCGGAUCGUAAACCUCUGUCAGCAGGGGAGAACGGUCACUGUGCUAAUCAGCAGUGAAUUGACGGUACCUGCAAAGGAAGCACCGGCUACCUCCGUGCCAGCAGCCGCGGUAAUACGGCAGGUGCGAGCGGUAAUCGGAAUUACUGUGCGUAAAGCGCUCGUAGGCGGUAUGUCAAGUCAAGGGUGAAAUCCCCGCGCUCAAAGUGGGAACUGCCUUUUGAACUGGCAAACUGGAGGGUGGGAGAGGAUAGUGGAAUUCCAGGUGUAGGAGUGAAAUCCGUAGAUAUCUGGAGGAACAUCAGUGGCGAAGGCGACUAUCUGGCACAUAACUGACGCUGAGGAGCGAAAGCGUGGGUAGCAAACAGGAUUAGAUACCCCUGGUAGUC